rnacentral:lncRNA from 1 species
UUAGUAGUAAAAACACAUUUAAUGAGUACCUCUGUUAAUUUUUAUAUAAAGAGACUUAUGCAAACAGUGUCAGCCUUCUAGAUGGGCAUAAUCUAGAAACUCUGAUGAAAUACAAAUAGGUCCUGUUGAUUCAAUGCAUUUCUAAUAUCUUUACCCACCUCUCUGUUCCUGCUAUCUUGUAUGCUAGAACAUAUCCUCCUCAUCACCAUCUUGGUCUGGCAAUGGAGAGUUGCAUGGUAUAGGUCAGCAGGCCACAGUCACUGCCAAGAAGAACUGGGCAGAAGUGGCAUAAAGGAUGUCCAGAUACUGCAGACUUCAUCAGACUGAAGGUAACAGGGUCCAGAAAAUUGAAGAUACUCCUAAACAAGAUCUGUAGUCACAAGGAAAAUGCAUCAACGAUCUAGGAUGUCAUCAGGGUAAGCCCUCCCUCCAACAAAACAAAUGGUAAUUCAUCUAUAUAACUUUGUAUAUAGAUCUCAGAGAAUUACCUGGGGUUCAGAGGAGUUAUCUCUUAUCUAUGAUCACCUAGAUAGUAAAUAUCAUGGGUGGAUUUGAACCCAGGUCUUCUUGACUCCAACUCCAACACUAUAUAUCCCAUGUAUGCCACUCUGCCUCAAAGAUGUAUGACUGAAAAAGGAGUUAGGCAGAUCAUAAAGCAAGAACAAGUUACAACUCCUAGAUAACCCCUGUGUUCCAUUGUUCUCCACACAAUACCAAGAGAUUUAGGUGAAGGCUUCCAGAGUGUUAAGUGGACUUUGUGUAAAAAUUAUUGGAGAAAACAGUUACCCAAGAUGGGAAGGCAUGGAUGGAUUAUAAUUGACUUCACUGCAGGCAAUACAUACUCCAAUGAUACUCAUCAAAGUAUUAUAGUCAGAAAGUUGUGGAUUUAGAGUUGGAAAAAACAUCACAGGUCAUCUAAUCCAAAAUCUUCAUUUUUCAGAGGAUGGAACUAAACUUCACAGAAGUUAAAUGACUUGCCCAAGGUCACACCAAUAGUAAGCAUCAGAGGCAAGACUGAACACAAGUAUUGUUCACCAUUUUUAUGGUUGUUUGAUUAGCCAGAACCUUUCCUAGUUUCAUCAAAUUUUUGACCAUUGGGCUGACCACUGGUGGAUUAAUGGGAAUCACUGUUUGUCAGCUGACAUAUCUAUUAGUUUUUGUCAUUUUUGCUUGAAAAGACUAUAGUCAUCUUCAAUGUUUCACCUUUAUAUUAUUUAUUUAUACAUAAUAUAAAGUAAUAUGGAAUAUUAGCUAGAGAAAAACCUCAACAAGAGCUGUAACUUGUCAGUGGCUUAACUUCUCAGUGUCUUAGGUUAUUCUUUAAGAC